CGAAUACACAGACGCUCGUAAGCUGGACAGUACAGUCACCAAGGUCCCUGCCAGAAUGGAAUACCGACCGUCAGCAACUCCAGCACCUACAGCCUACCAACCCCCAGUACACCGCACCCCGGCAGUACCACCGACGAACAAUUAUAUACAGCCUUCCCGAUUCAAUGCCCGGGAUUAUUCCCAGCCCAUCCGGUGCUUUGGGUGCAAACAGUUGGGGCACAAGCGUCCAGAGUGC